CCACGGGCGGCUGCAGUGGGGAAUAUUGGACAAUGGGCGAAAGCCUGAUCCAGCCAUGCCGCGUGUGUGAAGAAGGCCUUCGGGUUGUAAAGCACUUUCAGUGGGGAAGAAAGCCUUGGGGCUAAUACCCUCGAGGAAGGACAUCACCCACAGAAGAAGCACCGGCUAACUCCGUGCCAGCAGCCGCGGUAAUACGGAGGGUGCGAGCGUUAAUCGGAAUUACUGGGCGUAAAGCGCGCGUAGGCGGUCUGAUAAGCCGGUUGUGAAAGCCCCGGGCUCAACCUGGGAACGGCAUCCGGAACUGUCAGGCUAGAGUGCAGGAGAGGAAGGUAGAAUUCCCGGUGUAGCGGUGAAAUGCGUAGAGAUCGGGAGGAAUACCAGUGGCGAAGGCGGCCUUCUGGACUGACACUGACGCUGAGGUGCGAAAGCGUGGGUAGCAAACAGGAUUAGAUACCCGGGUAGUC
rnacentral:rRNA from 1 species